rnacentral:rRNA from 1 species
UACGGGGGGGGCAAGCGUUGUUCGGAAUUACUGGGCGUAAAGGGCUCGUAGGCGGCCAACUAAGUCGGACGUGAAAUCCCCAGGCUCAACCUGGGAACUGCGUCCGAUACUGGAUGGCUUGAAUCCGGGAGAGGGAUGCAGAAUUCCAGGUGUAGCGGUGAAAUGCGUAGAUAUCUGGAGGAAUACCGGUGGCGAAGGCGGCAUCCUGGACCGGCAUUGACGCUGAGGCGCGAAAGCGUGGGGAGCGAUCCGG